rnacentral:rRNA from 1 species
AGAGUUUGAUCCUGGCUCAGGAUGAACGCUAGCGGCAGGCUUAACACAUGCAAGUCAGGGGCAGGCAUAAUGGAUAGCAAUAUCUAUGGUGGCGACCGGCGCACGGGUGCGUAACGCGUAUGCAACCUACCUUUAACAGGGGGAUAACACUGAGAAAUUGGUACUAAUACCCCAUAAUAUCAUAGAAGGCAUCUUUUAUGGUUGAAAAUUCCGAUGGUUAGAGAUGGGCAUGCGUUGUAUUAGCUAGUUGGUGGGGUAACGGCGUCACCAAGGCGACGAUACAUAGGAGGGACUGAGAGGUUAACCCCCCCACCACUGGUACUGAGACACGGACCAGACUCCUACGGGAGGCAGCA